UUCAUACGUGUGAUCUUCCGACAUCAACAGCAACAGGAGCAGCGGCACCACCGAUACCGGCGGAACCAAAAACCUUUCGUCCUGCUACUGAAGCAGGCCCCUCAACCAUUCCUUUGCCGGAUGAAGAGUCGGAUUGUGCGAGCUCUGAUUCCAACAAAGGAGAAUGGAGUAUA